rnacentral:lncRNA from 1 species
UAACCAGGCAUGGUGGCACAUGCCUGUAGGCCCAGCUAUUCAGGAAGCUGAAGAGGGAGGAUCGCUUAAGGUGGGUAGGUUGACGCUGCAGUGAGCUAUGAUUUUGCCACUUCACUCCAGUCUGGGCAACAGAGCGAGACCCUGUCUCUAAAAAAAUAAUAAAAUAGCCUGUAAUCGCAGCAAUUUGGGAGUCCAAGGUGGGCAGAUCGCAAGGUCAGGAGUUCAAGACCAACCUGGCCAAUAUGGCGAAACUGUCUCUACUAAAAAUACCAAAAAAUUAGCUGGGCGUGGUGGCACAUGCCUGUAAUCCCAGGUACUCGGGAGGCUGAGGCAGGAGAAUUGCUUGAACCCGGGAGGUGGAGGUUGCAGUGAGCGGAGAUCGCACCAUGGCACUCCAGGAAAAAAAAAAAAAGCUUUCUUUCUUUUAGAGUCUAUAAAGAUUUUUUGCAAUUUCUUGACCUUUGGUGGGGUCUACAGACUCUUAGGAGCAUAGCAUGUAGAGGAAGUACCUGGCUUCCAAGGCUCAGCUGGAAUCAGGAAGAAGGUGUUCGUUGGUGGGCUGGCCCCUGUGGAGAUGUCUUUCUUCAGUGAGCACCUGCCCAAUCCCCUUCCUCAUUCCCUUCACACACCUGGCUUUGUGGUCACCUUUCCCUGCAUGUUGGUCCGGCUUGUCCUGUCUUUCCAACAUUUGAAUAUGAAGAGCAGGGACAAGUGAAGGGUUGAGUUCACGGCUUUGUGUGCUUUCUUUACAGUCUCCCAGGCUGUGUCAUGCUGAAGUAUAAGCAGCUCCGGAAAUACCCCAUUGUGUCUUGUCUCCGCUGGGCCUUGGCACAAGCUGGUCUUCCUUGCUGGAGGACGCCUCUCUGCCUGGCUGAUUCUCAUUCACCCAAGACGAAGGCUGGAGAUAUUUAGUAUCUCCUUUGAUUGGUAACUGGUUCUAGAACCUGUGAUUGAGGAACAGGUAGGGGAAGGGGUAGAGAUUCACUGCUUUCCUGAGAGUUCUAUAAAUCCUGAGUAACUUGGGAUCUGAUGUAGGAGGCAAACAUUGUGGAGACUCAGAGUUGGGAGACGAAAGUAUGGAAGUAGCUGGGGCAGCUGGGGGCUUAGGUGGCUCCACUGGAGGUGAUUGUAUAUUAUCAUGUGUUUUAAGAAUAAGACAAAGUUUUGAAUUGUAGCUUAAAGAUACAAAUCUCAAUCUCUGCUUUUGCUAUUGAUUUGAAUUUAAAAAAGUAGGAUGUUGGGUUUUGGUCAGAGGACUGAGUCUGCAUAGGGAAACAUUUUGAGAUAAUUCUUCUCUGUGGGCCAGAGGUCCUCCAUAAAACUUUUGUAGAGGUUCCCAUAGUGCUGUGGGUAAGUAGACUCCGAGGUCAGAAGACUAGGGCUGGAAUCCCUGCUUCUCUGCUCAUCAGCCAUAAGUCCUUGGACCAGAUACUUAGCUGUUCUGGACCUCAGUGACCUCUUCUCUAAAAUGGGCAUAUUGAUGCCUACCUCGUGGGAUCAUUACAGGAAAGAAUAGAAGGCAUGUUAAAUGCUUAGCUUAGCGCCUAGCAUUCGGUAAUGUGAUCAUUAAAUGUCAGCUUUUGUUAUUUUUAAUACUUUUAAAAGCUCAGGUUUUGGAAUCAACACAGAUACGUGUUUCAAAAAAGCAUUGUCAUUUGCCUGACAAUGGAAGGGUAAAUUAAUUAAACACUCUGAGCCUCAGUCUUUCUCCUUGCAAAAUAAUAGCAGCAACAAUGAGGAGGACAACAACCACAUAACGCAUCAGGAUCUUGUAAAUUUCAAUGAAAGGUAAGGCCUGUGAAGUGAUUAGAAAACUGGUAAACAUUCAAUACAUAACUUGUAUUAUUUUUUCUUAUUCUCUUGGUCUUACUGGUGAAGGGCCAUUGUCUGCUUCUGUGAAAGUACAGAGAGUCCAGUAAAUCUUUAGAAAAUAUGCAAGCUUGACUGGUCUGUGUUCUCAACACUGUCUGAAGAACCU